UACGUAGGGUGCAAGCGUUAAUCGGAAUUACUGGGCGUAAAGCGUGCGCAGGCGGUGAUGUAAGACAGAUGUGAAAUCCCCAGGCUUAACCUGGGAACUGCAUCCGAGACUGCAUUGCUAGAGUAUGGGAGAGGGAAGUGGAAUUUCCGGUGUAGCGGUGAAAUGCGUAGAUAUCGGAAGGAACAUCAGUGGCGAAAGCGACUUCCUGGACCAAUACUGACGCUCAUGUGCGAAAGCGUGGGGAGCAAACAGG
rnacentral:rRNA from 1 species